rnacentral:lncRNA from 1 species
GACUUGGAGGCUGUGAGCAGUGGCCAGAGGCUGGGCGGGUUUAAAAUAGACCUGCUGGGCUUGCUGCAGGCUCAUGUGGGCUUGAGUGACUACACAUCUGUCUGUCCGUCUGCUUCGGUCCCGGCUUAUGUAACAGGGAACCGGCUCGCCUUGGCUGUGGGAGAUGGAGAGGAGCUCAGUGCUACUGGGAGCACUGAGGUGGGGACGUGGCUACCGACCGAUGGCAGAAGAUGGAGAGAGGCGCGCAUGGCACUCCUAAGCAAAAAGGAAGAACCUCAACCCUAACCCAGAAUGUUACUGUGACCAGAUCCUCGCGAUGCCUUACUCAAACCUGACAGCUGCUCCCACCAAGGUUCAACAGGAUAUCUCCCUGGAGCCUCCCCAGGUCCCCUCAGCACUCUAGCGCAGCAGCCACUUGGCCCAGUAGUGGGAGCAGAGCUCGGCGUUCAGGAAGUGGGCAUGUGCGGGGGGAGCCAUCCUUGUAGGCCACCACGAUCAGGCCGCACUGCACCUGCGCAGAGAUGGGCGAUGCCAGGGUUCCUGUGAGCCCACAGCUCAGGUUUGUUACUUCAGGACCACAUCACCCUCAAGAGCGUCUCCUGACUACAGGAAAAUCUACCUCCAAGGUGGUGGUGACUAAAGACUGUACAUGGUGCUGGGUGUGGUGGCCCACGCCUGCAAUCCCAGUACUCAGGAGGCUGAGGCAGGGGCAUCACUGUGAAUUUGAGGCCAGCCUGGACUACACAGGGAGUUCAAGAUCACCCUGAACUACAUGGACGAGACCUUGACUCAAAAGCAUAAAGAAAUAAAGACUGCACCCAAGGCACAUGGGGAUACCAAGAUGCCAGGCACAACACUGAAGAAUGGACUAGGAGCAGGAGGAACAGAGGAAAGAAGCCAGGGAAGGAAGAAACGGUGGUUCUCAGGCGGGCGUGGGACCCCUGGGGUGGAAAGCACCACCUGACCUGGAAGCUGUAGUUGGCAUCGUG